rnacentral:rRNA from 1 species
UCAUUACUAGUAUAGGAGGUCCCGCCUGCCCUGUGACCAAAAGUUUAACGGCCGCGGUAUCGUAACCGUGCAAAGGUAGCGCAAUCAAUUGUCUCUUAAAUGGGGACCUGUAUGAAUGGCAUAACGAGGGUUUAACUGUCUCUUUUCUCUGGUCAAUGAAACUGAUCUGCCCGUGCAGAAGCGGGCAUGUUAACACAAGACGAGAAGACCCUAUGGAGCUUUAGACGCCCACCAACCGCGGAAAGAACCCCUACGAAUGGACCAUCAAACGACGCGGCUUUGACACAAGCGUCUUGGGUUGGGGUGACCACGGGGGAAAGCAAAGCCCCUGAGAGGGUUGGGAACAAUCCUAAAACCAAGAGCCACAGCUCUAAGUCGCAAAACAUUUGACCGACAAUGAUCCGGCUCCCCGCCGAUCAACGGACCAAGUUACCCUAGGGAUAACAGCGCAAUCCUCUCCCAGAGCCCAUAUCGACGAGGGGGUUUACGACCUCGAUGUUGGAUCAGGACAUCCUGAUGGUGCAGCCGCUGUUAAGGGUUCGUUUGUUCAACGAUUAAA